rnacentral:lncRNA from 1 species
UUUUAGAUAUGACAGAGGAGUAAAUAAAACAAUUAGAAAAAAGAUCAAAACUAGAAAACAACAAAAAAGGUAAAUCACUAAAUAUUCAUAUAGAGUAUAAAUAAUGCAGCUUUAUUUCAAAUUGCCAUCUAAAAUAGGCACUUUUGAAUUUAGGAAAGGGCAGUCUAAACCUAAAAUUGUAUGAAUGAAGCCCUGAGAAUAAAUAGUCUGUUCUGGAACAAUGAAACAAUAAGUAUUAGUGUAAACUACCUUUUAUGGAAAGGUUAUCCAUCACCAUUAUCUUCUUGCUCCUCAUACUAAUACCCCACAAGAUUUCCUGCUGAGCCUCUGGCUGAGGAAAGAGGGGAGCUAAAGUGAGCUUUCCCAGCACUGGGUUUGUCUAUCUAAUAAUUUAGCUUCUCAUUCUGACCAUGUCUGAGCUCUGGGGACUUUGCUUCAGAAACAAAUUGCAUGUUGCCUGACCUUUUUAGGACGUAGCUUCCUCCACUGAACAAAGGGUAGGUAGAAACUGAUAAGGAGGUUCUUUCUGGUGCUAUCAGUUGAUUGACAUGCUUGGUGGUGGUAGCAAUUAUUCAUUUAAAUCUGGCUUUCUGUUUCAUAAACCCAAAUUAAGAGGUUGAGAAUUAAGAUUGAGCUUUUAGCCAUUGAAGCCUGAAGGAUAAAUCAAAGGAUAUAGCCAAAAUCUUUUUAUUUACUUCUGGUUAGCUUGACAUCUGCAGGGAAUAAAGUGGGACAGGGUAACAAAAACUCUUGCUUCACACAUGACAAUCUGAUGUAUGCUAGGGAAUAUAAGAGAAUAUCUACCCUUAGGUUUCACUUAGCUAUAAAAGAAAUGUUGGUUGAAAUUACAAGACUAAAUUUGGUCCCAGUUGGUUGUGUAUUUACUCACCACAAUCUACAUCUAUCCUUGCUCCAAAGUAGAGUUCAAGUAGAUGUAGGCAAGACAGAAGAACAUGGGAGUAAUCAUUUGAUCAUAUCAGUUUAUUUGCUUUGUUGGUUUGUUUUGUCAGUGGAAUUUAUCAAGCUUAGGAGUCUUCAUCUUGGAUGAUGGGUGCAAUCUGGUGUGUCUGAGUUGGAGAUUUCAAAUGCCAUCCAGGCAAAGCCUAAUGAAAACAACCACACAGAAACACAAACACAGGGUUUAGCAUGGACAAUAUUACCUUCAGAGUAUACCUCACAAACCCACCCUAAUUUUUCAUUUUGAAAGAUUCUAUACUGUGUAUGUGACAAGUAAAGAUGAGAGAGCUUCAUAUACUAGACUGCAACAUAUUCACAUCCAUUCCUCCUACCUGACAGCCAAUAACCAUCACAGAUAUAUUCCAUCACAACUGAGAGUUUCCCAAAUACCUCUUUGAUAUUGACAUCCAUAUUAAACUGACAGAUGGUCUCAUAAAAGAAAUCCUUUGUCCUUCCCCAUUUUACAUCUCUCCAACAAGUCACUGAUGCUUCAAAAUAGAAUUCCAUCUCAGUGUUUCUGUUCUGACCACAGAUCACAUCUGGCCUCUCCAAUAUCAUUUUCUAUUAUGCUGCCUAUCCAAAUCCCCUGGCUUUUGAGGCCAAGUGAAGGGUCUUCUGGGUGGUUCUCUGCAAAUAUGAAAGUGUUAUUCUCAGUUCAGGAGAGGGCAGGCAACUUGCUAGCCAUUAGUGAUGCUUGAGUGAAUGCCAGGAAGAAGCCAUUAGCUGGUGCAUUGCUGGGAAGAACCUAUUAGCAUCCAGCUGUCAGGCAGUGUUUAGAAUGUGGAGCAUCCCAUACAUUCACAACCUAGAAAUGGUACUUCUCUCAAUAUAUUGCAGAUGGCUUGGGAAUCAUGAAAGAUGAAUUGUCCUCUAUGCUCAUUAUGAUGCUUUAAUUUCUAAGACAUGGAAAAGGUGGCAAAAAAAGAGAGAGAAACAUGGGUUUUUCCCCCCAGACAUUUCAUUUUCAUGAGGUUGCAUAGGAAGCAUACAAUUUCUUUUUUAAUCAUUUUAGACAGACAUACAGAGAGGAUCAAUUUUGAAGUUGCUUGUAUACCAAUAAUUUGUUUUAUCCAUAAAAUAUUUUUGUUAAAUAUAAACCC